CAAAGAUUUAAAAUUUUUGCAGAACGUAUUUAUUGUUGAUUAAAGUUAAAUUGUCUAACUAGUAUGGAAUCAGGUUUGGUCGAGAUAUCUAAUGAAGUUUUGUCUAGGCCCAAAGUUAAAGGAUUCAUGGCAAUUGAUAACAAAGGCUUGUGUUUACAAUCUGAAGGAAUCAAUGAAAAUCUUUCCGGAAUCUUUUCUGCCAUUGCAAAUUCGGCCAAAUUAUUAGACACAGAAGAUGACCCAGUAGUAGAAUUGGAAACGGAUAAAGGACGUAUUCUUAUUCAAGGCAAAGGAAAUGUUGUUACAACAAUUUAUAAAACUAAAUAAACCUGAUGUUUAAAGCAUGUACAUCAAUAUUUUUCAAACAAAACUCGCUUAUUAUUGAACCAUCGAUGAGCCUCUAUCUACAUGUACUCCUUUCUACAAAUAUGGUCUACUCAUUUCGACUGUGCUCAACCAUUUCGUAUAUUCAACUGUCACUCCAUCACUACCAAAUUUAUCUGCACUCUCAUCAUAUGGCGUCUCUUCAGUGUCAUUAGAUUGUUCAUCACACAUCAAUAUGAUUGCUAAACAUUGCCAUUCCAAAGUUAAAAAGAUUGAUUUUCUAGACUCCAUGAAAAGUUAAUGUUGUAAGACAAUGAUGCUGAAGCAGUGUCAUCUUGAUUCGCAUGUUGCUAAUUGCAGCUCUUCAUCAUCAAAGAUUUCACCGACAUUUGAAAACCUGAAUAAUGAAAUUUCAGUUAAAAUCGAUGACAACUCUGAUAAGAAUGCUCGUUUUGUUGAUGCUGGCUCAUCUGUUCCUGUCAAAUGGUUUCCAGUAUGACCGUUUAAUGAAACAAAAAUUUUUGAACAAAUUGUAAUAGCAAUGACUCACAGAAUCUCAGAAAAUUAGAACCUGAGUAAAUUAUAAUACCAUUGUAAAUAGAAAUGCUCGUCUUUUUGAUACCGGUUAAUCUCAAAAUGAAUAAUCAAAACAAUGUAAAUUUAUAAUAAAGAAAAUUAUUUAUUGAA